GGAAAGGGUUGUUCUCAGGGUCUUUUCUCGACUCUAUUUCGGAGAGCUCCUGGGCCAGGCGAAAUUUCUCGCACACGCUCCUCCACUCUGAGCUCUGGUGGGCAGCCAUGUUUUCUUCAAGUGUACACCAGCAGAGAUAUUCUGGCGCCAUCUACAGGGCAAGCUCUGUAUCUCACAGACAUAAGCAGGCUUCUUGCACAUUGAGUUAGCGGAUAUGACAGUAUGGUUCUUGUUUUACAUCACAAACUAAAGAAGAAGUUCACGAUUCUUCUCUUGAGGGUACAACAGAGCAGAGAAUAAAAUCUCAUAGG